rnacentral:misc_RNA from 1 species
UGUGAAACCAAAAGCAGUUCUUAGUGGCCAUAAUAUUUUGGGCCUGGGAGAGUGGUUUACGGUGUUAAUGCAUGUUUACCUAGGUUAGUUAUUUUAUUAGAAGUAUAAGAAUUACAGGUAUGUAUCAAUUGAUUGGAUGUAUAUUUGGAAUGCUGCCAGUCUGAAUUAUUGUCUAUUACAUUUUGAGUUGUAAUUAGAUGGGUGUGAACUUGGACCUCAAUAACACAUCAUCAUGGAAUGUAGCAAUGAAGCAUAUGCUGUCUCGUACAUUUGUUGGUAGUUGGCAAAUCUCAUCAGCCUUUGCUGGCAUUCAUUGUACAAUACUAAUAUAUAAUUUUUUGUUUUGCUAUCAAG